rnacentral:rRNA from 1 species
UACGUAGGGUGCGAGCGUUAAUCGGAAUUACUGGGCGUAAAGCGCGCGUAGGCGGCUUUGUAAGUUAGAGGUGAAAGCCCGGAGCUCAACUCCGGAACUGCCUUUAAGACUGCAUCGCUAGAACGUUGGAGAGGAGACUGGAAUUCCUGGUGUAGCGGUGAAAUGCGCAGAUAUCAGGAGGAACACCGAUGGCGAAGGCAGGUCUCUGGGCAUUAACUGACGCUGAGGAGCGAAAGCAUGGGGAGCGAACAGG